CACGGGGGGAGCAAGCGUUGUUCGGAAUCACUGGGCGUAAAGGGCGUGUAGGCGGUCAAGUAAGUGGAAUGUGAAAGCCCCCGGCUCACCCGGGGAUCUGCAUCCCAAACUGCUUGGCUUGAGUACGGGAGAGGAUAGGGGAAUUCCUGGUGUAGCGGUGAAAUGCGUAGAGAUCAUGAGGAAGACCAGUGGCGAAGGCGGGUCUCUGGACAGUUCCUGACACUGAGGCACGAAGGCCAGGGGAGCAAACGGG
rnacentral:rRNA from 1 species